rnacentral:rRNA from 1 species
UGUAGCUGGCCUUCUCGGAGGCAUCGUGCACGCCCUGCCCGUCCCAUAUCAUACCUGUGAACUUUUUGGUAGGCGGGUUUGUGUCGGCCUCGAAAGGGGUCGACCGGCCCUCCGGCCGUCUUUAUAUACACACCAUACGAGUCUUUAGAAUGUUUGUGCGUCUCGACGCAUCUUAUAUAUAACUUUCAGCGACGGAUCUCUUGGCUCUCGCAUCGAUGAAGAACGCAGCGAAACGCGAUAAGUAAUGUGAAUUGCAGAAUUCAGUGAAUCAUCGAAUCUUUGAACGCACCUUGCGCUCCUCGGUAUUCCGAGGAGCAUGCCUGUUUGAGUGUCAUGAAAUUAUCAACCCCUCCUCCUUCAUCGGCGGUGGGGCUUGGACUUGGAGGCUUUGCGGGCUUUUAACGAGUCGGCUCCUCUCAAAUGCAUUAGCUCGAACCCCUGCGGAUCGGCCUUCGGUGUGAUAUAAUGUCUACGUCGUGGUCGUGAGCGUCGGAUCGGCUUCUAAUGGUCCCCUUUCGGAGGCGGAAUUUGAACUUGUGACCUCAAAUCAGGUAGGACUACCCGCUGAACUUAAGCAUAUC